rnacentral:lncRNA from 1 species
CUAAAUGCAUGAAAAUUAAACAUAAUCAAACAAAAUUUAAAAUGCUGGAAAAAAAAAAUAAAAUAAAUUUGGAAAACAUAAAAAUCAAACGGUAUUGAAACAAAAUAUUUAAACUAAUUAAAAUGUAACACAUAAUAAAUAAAACACGUGACAUGACAUUAAAGGUAACACUUAAACUAAAAAAAAAUAUUGCAACUAGAAUAAAAAUUCAAUGCAAGACGUGAAUCAUGUGGNAAUGGUAAACUUUUCAAAAGAUAAAUAAAAAAAAAGUGCUGCAAUAAAACUUUAAAAAAAAAAGUUAAUUACCAAAAAAAAUUAAAAAUGCUCAAAUGUAAUUUAAUUCAACAAGUUUUGGAUUAUCUAAAUUCAACAAGGAAGCAAACUAUAACACCACUUCAAUAUAGGCAUCAUGAAUAAGCAUGUGAAUCCAAGGAGAAUUAAGGUACCGUGAUGCUAGCCUCUUGGCUCAAAGUUGAAUGAAAAUGAAAUAAAUGUGUUGCACCCUCCCAAAGCAAACAUCUAGUUCCUUCCAUCAUGAACGUUCUGACCGUGAAAUCACAAAAAAAAUCAGUUUCAUCAUUCUUAAAACAAAACUAAAAGAAAAUGCUGCACCCUUAGUGAAUCACCCUAAAAACUUUUCUAAAAAUCAGUUAUUAAUGUCCCAUCACCUAGACUCACACCUAAUCUAUUUACCAUUCAAUCAAGGCUAAGGAAAUGCUAUUAUACCCUUGCAACAGAAACCAAUUGCCAAUUAAAAAGGAAAUGGACUGUGACCCUACUCACCAC